UACGAAGGGUGCGAGCGUUAAUCGGAAUUACUUGGCGUAAAGCGUGCGCAGGCGGUUAUGUAAAACAGAGGUGAAAUCCCCGGGCUCAACCUGGGAACUGCCUUUGUGACUGAAUGACUAGAGUACGGCAGAGGGGGAUGGAAUUCCGCGUGUAGCAGUGAAAUGCGUAGAUAUGCGGAGGAACACCGAUGGCGAAGGCAAUCCCCUGGGCCUGUACUGACGCUCAUGCACGAAAGCGUGGGGAGCAAACAGG
rnacentral:rRNA from 1 species